rnacentral:sRNA from 1 species
CUUGCUUUUUCAUCUUCUGCCCUUUAUUAUUCUCAGCCACUGCCAUUACUUCAGUUAUCCAUUCCCAUGGUUUCCACAUGCUUAGCUUCGGUUGAUUCUUGCCAUUUUACAGACCAUAUUUCCAACUACUUCUAGAAUGUUUUGUUACUUCAGCCUCAGUAUGCCCAAUUUGAACUCAUGUUCUCUUUCCCCCUUCUUUCUUCCUUCUUUCUUUCACUCUCUCUCCCUUCCUUCUUUUCUUUCCCUCCCUCCCUUUCUUCCUUCCCUCACUCGUUCUCUCUUGCUUGCUUGCUUGCUUUCUCUCCUCUCUCUCUCUUUUCUUUCUGCUUUCUUUCUAUAUUCUUCUCCCUCCCUCUCUUCCUUCUCUCCCCCGCUCCCCAACUUCCAGGCUAAAGCAGUCCUCCUGAGUAGUUAGGACUACAGACAUACAUGUGCCACCGCGCCCAGCUCCAUGUUCUCUUUCUUUCCCUGCCUCCUGCUCUUCCACUUUUAUCUUUGCAUGGCAGGCCUUGCAGUAUUAAAACAUGUGCUAACACCACGAAUAAAGGCAACUCACGUUGCUUUUGAUUGCAUGAAGAA